rnacentral:lncRNA from 1 species
ACAUAUAUUAUAAUGUGAUGAUAAAAUAUGUAUUAAUGCUCAUGAUCGUAUUCACAUGUGAGCAAGACGACAGAAAUUAAUAAACAUAUAUAACUUUAUAUAUAUCAGCAUCUAAGAAGAUAAAAACAGUAAUGGAUAUAAAAUGAAUAAUUAAAUGGAUUGUGUAUGAGUGAGACAGGCUUGGAGGAGUCCCCCGCGUGUUUGGAUAGACAUCAAAGGGGCAGAAGGCGCAGGGCAUUGGUUUCAUUCAGAUAGAGAAAACCUGGUUCCACCAAUCAGAAAAUCCCUCUGAAUUUUAUCUGUUUUUGCCUCCAUUUUCUUGAAAAUGUUUGAUGGGCUUUGGGUUUAUGACCCUUCUUCCACCUAAAUUCGUGAUCCAAAGUUUCUCUCUUUUCAUCUCUUGGAUUCCAUUCACUAAUUUAUAUAGGGGAAGUGAGUAUGAAAACCAUAGAUGUACAACCUCAUAGUUUUGUUAAUCAACUCAAAAGUAGGGUUGUAGGGGAAAUGGAAUUCUAACUAAUUGUGUCGAUGUUUUCUUUAUUGUACUCACAGAAAGAGGGUUCCNNNNNNNNNNNNNNNNNNNNNNNNNNNNNNNNNNNNNNNNNGCUUUGUGAAUGAGGCGUACUAGCGGUAAGACGACUUUAAUCUUAUACAUACAUACAUAUAUAUAUAUAUAUAUAUAUAUAUAUAUAUAUAUAUUUUUCAAGAUUGCUGACUAGCGUUGCCCUUCUCUGAUGCAGCCGCAGACAAAAGCAAGUAUUACUCAAAUCUCCGUGGAAAGAGAUUGCGAAGGUGUUUGGAAAUGUAUGUUACAAUAUCAAUCUUAGGGGUUUGUGUGCUGCGGGUGUCCAACCAUACCGUAUGUGCCGUUUGAGAUCUUUGGAAACCGCAAACUACAUUGUGAAGAAUCUAAACUGCAUUAUGUGGUGCGGUACCGAUGGUUUUGAUACGGUUUGUUGAAUAACUAAAAAGAAAUAGUUUUACAUGCAUUAGUUGUCUUUAUAUCUUAAAUAUAAAUUAUUUCCAAUAGUAAAAAGCAACUACAAACAUUGUCCAAAACAACAUCAAUGGAUCAAAUUAGACACUUAUAAUUUUAUAAUUUUACAGAAACCAACAUCAGCCAAUAAUAGCAAAAAAUCAAGCAAAAUAGUAGCUACAAUUUUAUAGCAACUAACGGAUUCUUGAGAUUUUGAUCAUUAAUUUGGUGUUAUAUCUAACUAUCUAUCUCUUACAAACGACUAUUUUGAACCAUAUUCAUUUAAAACUUCUAAACUCUUCAACUUAGAUAUUUGAAUGAUAAUACAAUUCAAGAGUUUUUUAACUUAUGAUAUCUAAUUGGUAUUUGUGAAAGAUGAUUGGUUAUUAGAAAUUCUAUCUAUAUAUCUAUAAUAAUAGAGACACAAUUCCAAGCUCCAUAUUGAUUUGAAACUCUCAUCUCAUAAUUACAAGC